UCGGGAAUUUUGCUCAAUGGGCGAAAGCCUGAAGCAGCAACGCCGCGUGAGGGAUGAAGGCCUUCGGGUUGUAAACCUCUUUUUCCAGGGACGAUGAUGACGGUACCUGGAGAAUAAGCCACGGCUAACUACGUGCCAGCAGCCGCGGUAAUACGUAGGUGGCAAGCGUUGUCCGGAUUUACUGGGCGUAAAGAGCGCGCAGGCGGCCAAGUCAGUCGAAUGUGAAAGCCCCCGGCUUAACUGGGGAGGGUCAUUCGAUACUGCUCGGCUCGAAGACAGGAGAGGGAAGCGGAAUUCCCGGUGUAGUGGUGAAAUGCGUAGAUAUCGGGAGGAACACCAGUGGCGAAGGCGGCUUUCUGGCCUGUUCUUGACGCUGAGGCGCGAAAGCUAGGGGAGCAAACGGGAUUAGAUACCCCCGUAGUCC
rnacentral:rRNA from 1 species